UGGGGAAUAUUGGACAAUGGGGGCAACCCUGAUCCAGCCAUGCCGCGUGAGUGAUGAAGGCCUUCGGGUUGUAAAGCUCUUUUGGCGGGGACGAUGAUGACGGUACCCGCAGAAUAAGCCCCGGCUAACUUCGUGCCAGCAGCCGCGGUAAGACGAAGGGGGCUAGCGUUGUUCGGAAUUACUGGGCGUAAAGCGAGUGUAGGCGGUUGCCGUAGUCAGGUGUGAAAGUCUUGAGCUCAACUCAAGAAAUGCACUUGAUACUGGGUGACUAGAGGACCGGAGAGGAUAGUGGAAUUCCCAGUGUAGUGGUGAAAUACGUAGAGAUUGGGAAGAACACCAGUGGCGAAGGCGGCUAUCUGGACGGUUACUGACGCUAAGACUCGAAAGCGUGGGGAGCAAACAGGAUUAGAUACCCUGGUAGUCCACGCCGUAAACGAUGGGUGCUAGACGUUGGCGAGCUUGCUCGUCAGUGUCGCAGCU
rnacentral:rRNA from 1 species